rnacentral:rRNA from 1 species
GAUGAACGCUGGCGGCGUGCUUAACACAUGCAAGCCGAACGAAGCAUUUGCGACAGAUUUUUUCGGAAUGAAGUUGCUUAUGACUGAGUGGCGGACGGGUGAGUAACGCGUGGGUAACCUGCCUUGUACUGGGGGAUAGCAGCUGGAAACGGCUGGUAAUACCGCAUAAGCGCACAAUGUUGCAUGACAUGGUGUGAAAAACUCCGGUGGUAUAAGAUGGACCCGCGUCUGAUUAGCUAGUUGGUGAGAUAACAGCCCACCAAGGCGACGAUCAGUAGCCGACCUGAGAGGGUGACCGGCCACAUUGGGACUGAGACACGGCCCAGACUCCUACGGGAGGCAGCAGUGGGGAAUAUUGCACAAUGGAGGAAACUCUGAUGCAGCGACGCCGCGUGAGUGAAGAAGUAAUUCGUUAUGUAAAGCUCUAUCAGCAGGGAAGAUAGUGACGGUACCUGACGAAGAAGCUCCGGCUAAAUACGUG